rnacentral:tRNA from 1 species
GCCAAUUUAGCUCAGUGGUAGAGCAGCUCACUCGUAAUGAGCAGGUCGCCGGUUCAAGUCCGGCAAUUGGCU